rnacentral:ncRNA from 1 species
GUCAACGACGGUUGAAACUUCUAGGAAAAAACUUCGAAUUGGGAGGGCGAUCCUCCCGGUGAAUUGACCAUACCCCAAACCAACACAGGUGAACAAGUAGAGUAUACUAGGGCGCGUCGAGAGAACCGUGUCGAAGGAACUCGGCAAAAUGACCCUGUAACUUCGGGAGAAGGGGUGCUCUCCUAUCUUUUGAUUAGGAAAGUGGCACAUACCAGGGGG